rnacentral:lncRNA from 1 species
CUCUGUUCUGGUGGAGCAUGAUCCCUCUGCUCUGCUGGAGCAUGAUCCCUCUGUUUUUCCCUUGACUUGCUGAAUUUGAAAAUUGGGGACUACGGGUAUACACCCUACUCCCCCCUCUGGUGACAUGUGCAAUACUCUGUUAUGAACAUGUUAAGUGUGUGUGUGUUUGGUGCUCAUGCUUGUGAUGAUUGUGAGAGAGUUAGCAUAACUACAGUUCCCAAGUAACAUAAUUCAAGUUGCAUUUCAAGCCCUAGCACAUAUGCAGAAGGUGUGCAGCUUCGUGUACUUAGUCAAUUCAUAAUCCAGCCCUAGGCACAUAUGCAGAAGGUGUGCAGCUUCCAAAACAUAAUUAUUGUUGUAUAAAUCCCAACACAGAUCAUACAAGUCAUGGUUUUGCCCAAGUAAAUAAAAAGAAUAUUUUCCAAAUCCCUAUCAUGCUUACAUGCUCCCAUAAAAUACCCUAAGAUCAUAAUUUGUGAUAAAACAUAAUACUCCCCCAUCAUGCUCACAUGCUUCCACGAGAUAAAGUUCAGCGAAGUACCUGAAUUACCACUUAUAAGUGGAUUAGCUUUUCGUGUUAUGGUGAUUACCAUGUUCAAGUUUUUUCCCAAGGCUGUUUAUCAUGUGUUGUAAGAACUCUUGAACGAGAAUAUUAGUAAAAUAUGAGAGCCCCUUGAGACAGGGCUGCAAAGAGAAUUCGAACACUAGAUUAUAUAAUCCAUUGCCACAACUUGAUUCCCAUAUUUAUAUCCCGCUGAAUUCAUUCAAAUUUUCAAAU